rnacentral:misc_RNA from 1 species
GAUGAAGAACGUAGCGAAAUGCGAUACUUGGUGUGAAUUGCAGAAUCCCGUGAACCAUCGAGUCUUUGAACGCAAGUUGCGCCCGAAGCCAUUAGGCCGAGGGCACGCCUGCCUGGGUGUCACACACCGUUACCCUCGCGCCAACGUCCAUCGUUGGCCGCGGCGCGGGGCGUGCGCUGACCUCCCGCGAGCGGGGUCUCGUGGUUGGUUGAAAAUCGAGUUCGCGGUCGAGGGUGCCGUGAUGAAAUGGUGGAUGGGCGACGCCCGAGGCCAAUCACGCGCGACUCCGUCCGGCUCUGACUCCUGGACCCCUUCGGCGUCUCCGGACGCUCUUUGGCGAGACCUCAGGUCAGGCGGGGCUACCCGCUGAGUUUAAGCAUAUCAAUAAGCGGAGGA